UUCAUUGAGAUCAUCCCACAAAGCUGAAGGAAGGGGGUUGAAAAAAGCAAAUAUAUCUUUGAAAACCUGGACAUGUUUUAGUGUUUUGUUUUACAGCGGAGAAGUUACGCAAGAAGACGACUUUAAGUGUGUUUUACUCCUCUUUUAUUUCUUUAAAUUAUAGACAUUGGGAGCUGAAAAUGAUCCUAGUGAGGUCCUGGUGCAACCCCCUCCUUCCAUACACAGGGAAGGGAGACCCUAAAAGCUUGGGUGAACUGGCCAAGGUCACACAUGGAGUCAUGGCUGAGCCUGGGCCUGCCCACAGCUACACCACAGGAUGCUGUACUGUCUGUGCACUUGCCUGUUACGUUCUCUGUUUCGGGGCAGAAUCCCGGAGCCAGAGAGAUUCAUGUUGUCAAGAAGUCGCUAUCAAAUCUGUGCAGAGUGGCUGCAGGAUUGCGUCCAAAGCAAGUCCCAAAAUCUGAGGUCAUGGUCGCAUCUACAUAGUACCACAGAUAACUAGGAAUUAGUUUAACCAGACUCACUCAUCCUAAAAUAAAGAAUGAAUUUAUUUAUUUA